UUAAUCGUCAACACAAGUGGCUACCACAAACCGCCACUCGCCAGAGAAGUACAGGUGAAAAACCAGAAACUCAAAGGACUUGGCGGUGUCCCACAUCAACCUAGAGGAGCCUGUCCCAUAAUCGAUAACCCACGUUAAACCUAACCUACUUUUGCCCCCCAGCCUAUAUACCGCCGUCGCCAGCCUACCUAAUGAUAGACACACAGCAGGCGAAACAGCCCACACUAAUACGUCAGGUCAAGGUGUAGCUAAUAAGCAGGUCUCAGAUGGGCUACAUUUUCUACCCACAAGAAAAUUACCACACGCACCAUGAAACAUAAGCCGCAAGGCGGAUUUAGCAGUAAACUGGGCAAGAAAGCCCAAUUGAAAAUUGCCCUGGGACAC
rnacentral:rRNA from 1 species